UACAGAGGUCUCAAGCGUUGUUCGGAUUCAUUGGGCGUAAAGGGUGCGUAGGCUGCGGGGCAAGUCGGGUGUGAAAUCUCAGAGCUCAACUCUGAAACUGCACUCGAUACUGCUUUGCUCGAGGACUGGAGAGGAGAUUGGAAUUCACGGUGUAGCAGUGAAAUGCGUAGAUAUCGUGAGGAAGACCAGUGGCGAAGGCGGAUCUCUGGACAGUUCCUGACGCUGAGGCACGAAGGCCAGGGGAGCAAACGGG
rnacentral:rRNA from 1 species